GUUGUAUGGUUAAGUGACUAAGCGUACACGGUGGAUGCCUUGGCAGUCAGAGGCGAUGAAAGACGUAGUAACUUGCGAUAAGCCCAGAUUAGGUAGUAACAACCAUUUGAGUCUGGGAUUUCUGAAUGGGGAAACCCACGUGCAUAAGCACGUAUCCUUACCUGAAUACAUAGGGUAAGGAGGCGAACCGGGGGAACUGAAACAUCUAAGUACCCCGAGGAAAAGAAAUCAACCGAGAUUCCGAAAGUAGCGGCGAGCGAAAUUGGACUAGCCCUUAAGCUUUACACGCGUUAGACGAACGGUCUGGAAAGUCCGACGAUACAGGGUGAUAGUCCCGUAGUUGACGACGUGUGUUCAGUGAAAUCGAGUAGGGCGGGACACGUGAUAUCCUGUCUGAAUAUGGGGGGACCAUCCUCCAAGGCUAAAUACUACUGACUGACCGAUAGUGAACCAGUACCGUGAGGGAAAGGCGAAAAGAACCCCUGUGAGGGGAGUGAAAUAGAACCUGAAACCGUGUACGUACAAGCAGUAGGAGCAGGCUUUGUCCUGUGACUGCGUACCUUUUGUAUAAUGGGUCAGCGACUUAUAUUCAGUGGCAAGGUUAACCAUCUAGGGGAGCCGUAGGGAAACCGAGUCUUAACUGGGCGUUCAGUCUCUGGAUAUAGACCCGAAACCAGGUGAUCUAGCCAUGGGCAGGUUGAAGGUUGAGUAACAUCAACUGGAGGACCGAACCGACUAAUGUUGAAAAAUUAGCGGAUGACUUGUGGCUAGGGGUGAAAGGCCAAUCAAACCUGGAGAUAGCUGGUUCUCCCCGAAAGCUAUUUAGGUAGCGCCUCGGACGAAUACUACUGGGGGUAGAGCACUGUUAAGGCUAGGGGGUCAUCCCGACUUACCAACCCUUUGCAAACUCCGAAUACCAGUAAGUACUAUCCGGGAGACACACGGCGGGUGCUAACGUCCGUCGUGGAGAGGGAAACAACCCAGACCGCCAGCUAAGGUCCCAAAUUACUACUAAGUGGGAAACGAUGUGGGAAGGCUCAGACAGCCAGGAUGUUGGCUUAGAAGCAGCCAUCAUUUAAAGAAAGCGUAAUAGCUCACUGGUCGAGUCGGCCUGCGCGGAAGAUGUAACGGGGCUAAGUAGUAAACCGAAGCUGCGGCAAUAUACUUUUGUAUAUUGGGUAGGGGAGCGUUCUGUAAGCGGUUGAAGGUGUGUGGUAACGCAUGCUGGACGUAUCAGAAGUGCGAAUGCUGACAUGAGUAACGAUAAAGGGGGUGAAAAACCUCCUCGCCGGAAGACCAAGGGUUCCUGUCCAACGUUAAUCGGGGCAGGGUAAGUCGACCCCUAAGGCGAGGCCGAAAGGCGUAGUCGAUGGGAAACGGGUUAAUAUUCCCGUACUUCUUACAAUUGCGAUGGGGGGACGGAGAAGGCUAGGUGGGCCUGGCGACGGUUGUCCAGGUUCAAGUGCGUAGGCUUAAGAGUUAGGUAAAUCCGGCUCUUUCUAAGGCUGAGACACGACGUCGAGCACCUACGGGUGUGAAGUCAUUGAUGCCAUGCUUCCAGGAAAAGCCUCUAAGCUUCAGAUUGUAAGGAAUCGUACCCCAAACCGACACAGGUGGUCGGGUAGAGAAUACCAAGGCGCUUGAGAGAACUCGGGUGAAGGAACUAGGCAAAAUGGUACCGUAACUUCGGGAGAAGGUACGCUCUUGAUGGUGAAGUCCCUUGCGGAUGGAGCUGACGAGAGUCGCAGAUACCAGGUGGCUGCAACUGUUUAUUAAAAACACAGCACUGUGCAAAAUCGUAAGAUGACGUAUACGGUGUGACGCCUGCCCGGUGCCGGAAGGUUAAUUGAUGGGGUUAGACUUCGGUCGAAGCUCUUGAUCGAAGCCCCGGUAAACGGCGGCCGUAACUAUAACGGUCCUAAGGUAGCGAAAUUCCUUGUCGGGUAAGUUCCGACCUGCACGAAUGGCGUAAUGAUGGCCACGCUGUCUCCACCCGAGACUCAGUGAAAUUGAAAUCGCUGUGAAGAUGCAGUGUACCCGCGGCUAGACGGAAAGACCCCGUGAACCUUUACUACAGCUUGGCACUGAACAUUGACCCUACAUGUGUAGGAUAGGUGGGAGGCUUUGAAGCACGUACGCCAGUAUGUGUGGAGCCGUCCUUGAAAUACCACCCUUGUAGUGUUGAUGUUCUAACGUCGACCCCUUAUCGGGGUUGCGGACAGUGCCUGGUGGGUAGUUUGACUGGGGCGGUCUCCUCCCAAAGAGUAACGGAGGAGCACGAAGGUGGGCUAAUCACGGUUGGACAUCGUGAGGUUAGUGCAAUGGCAUAAGCCCGCUUGACUGCGAGAAUGACAAUUCGAGCAGGUGCGAAAGCAGGUCAUAGUGAUCCGGUGGUUCUGAAUGGAAGGGCCAUCGCUCAACGGAUAAAAGGUACUCCGGGGAUAACAGGCUGAUACCGCCCAAGAGUUCAUAUCGACGGCGGUGUUUGGCACCUCGAUGUCGGCUCAUCACAUCCUGGGGCUGAAGUCGGUCCCAAGGGUAUGGCUGUUCGCCAUUUAAAGUGGUACGCGAGCUGGGUUUAGAACGUCGUGAGACAGUUCGGUCCCUAUUCUGCCGUGGGCGUUGGAAGAUUGAAGGGGGGCUGCUCCUAGUACGAGAGGACCGGAGUGGACGAACCUCUGGUGUUCGGGUUGUGUCGCCAGACGCAUUGCCCGGUAGCUAAGUUCGGAAUCGAUAACCGCUGAAAGCAUCUAAGCGGGAAGCGAGCCCUGAGAUGAGUCUUCCCUGAUACUUUAAGUAUCCUAAAGGGUUGUCGGAGACUACGACGUUGAUAGGUCAGGUGUGUAAGUGCUGUGAGGCAUUGAGCUAACUGAUACUAAUUGCCCGUGAGGCUUAACCAUACAACACCCAAGGGGUUU
rnacentral:rRNA from 1 species